AGCACGUAGGUGGGUUUGUAAGUCAGACGUGAAAGCCUUCUGCUCAACGGAAGAAUUGCAUCUGAAACUACAAACCUUGAGUGUAGGAGGGGAGAAUGGAACUUCUGGUGGAGCGGUGAAAUGCGUAGAUAUCAGAAGGAACGCCGGCGGCAAAAGCGAUUCUCUGGCCUAUUACUGACACUCAGUGUGCGAAAGCUAGGGGAGCAAACGGGAUUAGAUACCCCGGUAGUCCUAGCCGUAAACGAUGGGCACUAAGUAGAGGGG
rnacentral:rRNA from 1 species